rnacentral:tRNA from 1 species
UGAUCUGUGGCUUAGUUGGUUAAAGCGUCGGACUAGCGAUACGAAGUCGUGGGUAUAAACCCCACCAAAACAU